GACGAACGCUGGCGGCGUGCUUAACACAUGCAAGUCGAGCGAAUGGAUUAAGAGCUUGCUCUUAUGAAGUUAGCGGCGGACGGGUGAGUAACACGUGGGUAACCUGCCCAUAAGACUGGGAUAACUCCGGGAAACCGGGGCUAAUACCGGAUAACAUUUUGAACCGCAUGGUUCGAAAUUGAACGGCGGCUUCGGCUGUCACUUAUGGAUGGACCCGCGUCGCAUUAGCUAGUUGGUGAGGUAACGGCUCACCAAGGCAACGAUGCGUAGCCGACCUGAGAGGGUGAUAGGCCACACUGGGACUGAGACACGGCCCAGACUCCUACGGGAGGCAGCAGUAGGGAAUCUUCCGCAAUGGACGAAAGUCUGACGGAGCAACGCCGCGUGAGUGAUGAAGGCUUUCGGGUCGUAAAACUCUGUUGUUAGGGAAGAACAAGUGCUAGUUGAAUAAGCUGACACCUUGACGGUACCUAACCAGAAAGCCACGGCUAACUACGUGCCAGCCGCCGCCGUAA
rnacentral:rRNA from 1 species